CUGGGAAACUGCCUGAUGGAGGGGGAUAACUACUGGAAACGGUAGCUAAUACCGCAUAACGUCGCAAGACCAAAGUGGGGGACCUUCGGGCCUCAUGCCAUCAGAUGUGCCCAGAUGGGAUUAGCUAGUAGGUGGGGUAAUGGCUCACCUAGGCGACGAUCCCUAGCUGGUCUGAGAGGAUGACCAGCCACACUGGAACUGAGACACGGUCCAGACUCCUACGGGAGGCAGCAGUGGGGAAUAUUGCACAAUGGGCGCAAGCCUGAUGCAGCCAUGCCGCGUGUAUGAAGAAGGCCUUCGGGUUGUAAAGUACUUUCAGCGAGGAGGAAGGCGUUAAGGUUAAUAACCUUGGCGAUUGACGUUACUCGCAGAAGAAGCACCGGCUAACUCCGUGCCAGCAGCCGCGGUAAUACGGAGGGUGCAAGCGUUAAUCGGAAUUACUGGGCGUAAAGCGCACGCAGGCGGUCUGUCAAGUCGGAUGUGAAAUCCCCGGGCUCAACCUGGGAACUGCAUUCGAAACUGGCAGGCUAGAGUCUUGUAGAGGGGGGUAGAAUUCCAGGUGUAUCGGUGAAAUGCGUAGAGAUCUGGAGGAAUACCGGUGGCGAAGGCGGCCCCCUGGACAAAGACUGACGCUCAGGUGCGAAAGCGUGGGGGAGCAA
rnacentral:rRNA from 1 species